GUAGGUGGCAAGCGUUGUCCGGAAUUAUUGGGCGUAAAGCGCGCGCAGGCGGUUCUUUAAGUCUGAUGUGAAAGCCCACGGCUCAACCGUGGAGGGUCAUUAGAAACUGGAAAACUUGAGUACAGAAGAGGAAAGCGGAAUUCCACGUGUAGCGGUGAAAUGCGUAGAGAUGUGGAGGAACACCAGUGGCGAAGGCGGCUUUCUGGUCUGUAACUGACGCUGGGGCGCGAAAGCGUGGGGAGCAAACAGGAUUAGAUACCCUGGUAGUCCACGCCGUAAACGAUGAGUGCUAAGUGUUAGGGGGUUUCCCGCCCCCCUUAGUGCUGCAGCUAACGCAUUAAGCACUCCGCCUGGGGAGUACGGCCGCAAGGCUG
rnacentral:rRNA from 1 species